rnacentral:lncRNA from 1 species
AUAGACUGAAACAUGCUUUUACACUCCGUACAAUGAAACGUGCUUUUGCUCAACAUAUAUUUAAUACAAAAUGAAAAAAUCUCAUCUCUUUCCUCUACCAAAUCCGAAGCAACCAAGCUCAAACUCCAUUUCAUUUCUCUCUUAUACUUUCAUCAAGUAUUUUGCCCAUAAAUUGAGGACAAUGGUGGAGCUUAUGACUCCAAUAUGGGCGAUGAACGAUUCAUGGCUGCGAGGUGAGAGAGUACCGACCAAUGAGUUUCUUUGGUUAUCGGUUAAUAUCCUGCUUCUUCCGAGCCACGAAUGAGGUAUGUAUCAAAGAACUUUCAGUGCAUGUUAUUUUUUGCUUGCUUUGUUGAUGAGUUGAGUAAAAAUAUGAAAAUGGCUCUUCAAAAAUUGAUUGAAAAUGUGGCUGAUACUUCUUAUUCUUUUCAUAAAUUAAUGUUAGUUGUAGUGAAUAGAGUAACCCAAAUGCAUGUUGACCGGUUCACCAGUUCCACCAACUAGACGCUUAGAGUGAUUCAGUCGAUACAAAGGUGCGCUUGAAGUUUGUAAUUAGUAUUGUAUAAAAGAAAAUGCUUGAAUCCUUCCAUGGAUAGCUUUCUUGUGUUUGACAUGCCUUGAUUGAAUUUAUAAGCACUAGGAAUAAAUGUAAUAUUUAUGGGCAUUAGAUAUUUUGUAUUAUUGAGAUUUUGUAAUUUUAGAAAAUCUAAGAUUUUGUUCAUGUAUGUUGUGAUUUUCCUUAAAAGUUUUAAGAUUGUACGUGUAUGUUAUGCUACAGCAUGUUAAUACAAAAUUCAUUUGAAAGAUUAUCUUCAUCAACUAUGUUUUGUAGUUUUAAACGGUUGCCAACCAUUUUGUGUCGGGUCAAUGUGUUUAAUCUUUAAGAUUCACAUAAAUGCUUUGUUUUGGAUGCUUAUCAAUUUUAAUUUCAUCAAUAGAAAGUGUCAAUAAUGAAGCUGCAGGAUAGGACUUGAUAUUAGCUUACAUUGAAAUGAUAAAGUAAUGGAUCCAUAAUGUUAAAAGAAGAAAAACAAGACAGAAAUUUUGUGAUAGAUCAACUACAACGACUUGGCGGUUGGCAAUAACUUGUUAUUUUUGUUAUAAACAAAAUCUUAUAUUUGUUAUACAUGGUCUCUUUGCAUUAAAUGUCUACAAAAUGUUGUUAGAUUGAACAGAAAUAUAAGUUGCCACUGCUGUUGAAAUCAAGUAUAUAGUAGUAUGUUUUGCAACAUGACAGUGUUUGACAAUUAGAACCAUAAUUGUUUGAAUCUACUUAUGUUUGUGUUUACAUUAUCUUCGUGACUUAUAUAUUCACAAUAAGUUGUAUACUAAUACGAUGUUUUUAUUAAUAAAGGGAAAUUAACCCAAGCCUAAAGAGAUAGUCGAUAGUGAAUUCGGUAGCAGUUGCUUUGGCAGCAAGAGUGUUCAUUAAGUAGUAGCACCAAAGUCCAAACUAAUCCCUUACGGCAUAUUUUGAAAUGAUCAGAUGAUACCUCACAUUUCUUAUGUAAGCCCUAAAUUGUAGAGAUGUUGCAUCAUCUUUUACUUGGUUUUAUUGAGGUUUUUGUAUAUUAUACUUAGAAACUCACUCCAGUGACAAGGUUAGUCUUGCCUUUGUUAGUAGUUAUCUUAGUAAACUGUUAUUAGUUGCUCACAUGUAAAUAUGGACUACUGUUGAGUUGUAAGGCUAAUUGGAUGACAACCACUGAUGACUGACUACAUUAAUAUCGCUGUUGGAAUUUGUUUAUAUGUACCACAUGGCUGAGCUAUGUUUCUACAUUUAAGUGCUUGCAUUUACCUAUAUGGAUUAUAUCGCGGCUGAAAUUCUUUUAAAUACAUCACAUGGUUGAGGCAUGUUUUUAUACUUCAAUGGAUGUAUUUGUAUUUAUGUCUAUAUUGAUGUUGAGAUUCUUUUAUAUAUAUCACAUUCAAGGGAUUAGGAAAUUGUUGUUGAUUGAUUGAUUUUAUAAUUAUUGCAUUAAUCUUCUUAACUGUUUGUGUCUUGAUUCUAACUUGCCAAAGUGAUUUUGCUAUUGAAUAUGGUAUUCUAAAAUUUUUUAUUUAGGCUUACAUAUGCAUAUUACUUGGAAAACACUAUUACAUUAAAUAUAUAAAACAAUAGAUUUAGGGACAUAUUACGUAAGGGUCAUAAAAUGUAUUUGAUUAGCUUGAUGUGCUUAAGCUUUAGGCACACAUUGGCGUGCAUAAGUGUUCCAACUUUGUAUAAUGAUUGGAAAGUGGUGAGAUUUGAAUGAUUUUUGAAGAGUUUGUAGAUGCAUGGUUGAUAUGGAGGUAUGAGAGAAUAUUGGCAGUGAUGUUUUGAUUAUGUUGAAGGAAGAAGAAAGCUUUAGUUAUGAGAAGCAGAAGCUUUGUUGUUGUUGAGCUUGGCAAUGGCUAAUUAUAUAGACAACCAACAUAAAU